GUAAGAUAAGCUCUGGUUUUAGCCAAAAUCUUGUCCUUAAUUGGGAGAACUAUUCAAGGGACUGCGCUUUGAUUUUUCUCAAAGGACUCUAUCGGAUUCUGCGUUUCUUUGUUAUAUUCAGGUUAUGAAAUCAGAACUUAGAACUGGAAAAUUGAGGAAUCGAUGAUUCAAUCCACCAAGAGAGAGCUAGAGAAUUUAUGAGUCAAUGUAGGAGUACAAAUUCUUGGAUUGAACAAUAAAUUGGGUUAGUUUUGCUUCUUACUUCUCUAUGUGCUUGUUUUGUAUUCUUGGUGAUCUGUGUAUUAUCAUCUAAUAAAUAUAGCCUAUUUGUGCUCGUCCAUUACUCCAUUAAAAAUUGGAGCUUGUGGUACACAGAUUAUUAAGUUUUUCUCCAUUUCCUAAAGCUGGUUGAUUUGUGCAGUUUGAGGCUCCGGUCUAUCAAUUUAAUUUACUCUCCCAAAGUUUUUGAUUCUAUUAUACCAGAGCUUGACUUUCACAUGUUAUCAGUUGUGUUCUUUUGUCCGUGUUAUUAAAGUUCGAGUAAGUAAUAAGAAUUAUAAUGGCUCCAACAGGGUAGGAAUGACCAUUUUGAGAAGAAGAGAGAAUUAUCAAGUUGUUGGUGUUUCUGAUUAUUAUAGCCUAUUUGAAGCAUUCCAAAUGCUACAUAAGGGGAACUGGUGCUUGCAGAUUGGCCUUCUUGGCUUGUUAAGGUAGCUGGCAAAGCUAUCAAGGGACGGAUACUGUAGAGAUCUGAUAGUUUUAGAAAGUCAGAUAAGAAAAUUUUAGAUCAGUCGUUCUUCAAUGUCUCUCUACUCAAGCAAUGGUAGAAAUUCCAACUGGAAACAUUACUGUGGAAGUUGCAUCAGGAGAUGAGAUAAGCAUCAACCUCGCAAAGAAGAAUGACUAGCUGAGUCAUUACAUGAACUUUUGAGAGCUACCUACUUUGAACCACUGGAAUAUUUUUUGGGUGUGUGUAAUUUGCCUGCAUACCUGUUCACAAAUGACGUAAUUCAAAACCAAAACUUAACUGUUAUUGGGUUUGUGAGUCCUGCCCAUUGUGUAUCAGAAACUAUGUUUAGGGGUUGUAUCCUCAGGGGCAUGUGUGAAUGUAUUAACUUCUACCCUUUUUGUAUAAAGAACUAUGUGCUAAUGUU